rnacentral:rRNA from 1 species
UACGUAGGGUGCAAGCGUUGUCCGGAAUUAUUAGGCGUAAAGAGCUCGUAGGCGGCUUGUCGCGUCGGCUGUGAAAUCCCGGGGCUCAACCCCGGGUCUGCAGUCGAUACGGGCAGGCUAGAGUCCGGUAGGGGAGACUGGAAUUCCUGGUGUAGCGGUGAAAUGCGCAGAUAUCAGGAGGAACACCGGUGGCGAAGGCGGGUCUCUGGGCCGGAACUGACGCUAAGGAGCGAAAGCGUGGGGAGCGAACAGG